GGUGGCGUAUGCCAGCCGCAAGCUGUCAUCAGCGGAGAGGAGGUGCAACAACUGGGAUUCAGGCGAACGUAUAGAGCAACGAACUGAGAGACCCGACAACCCACCAGAGCUGGAACAGCCAGAAGAGGAGUGCACGGCAAAAACACUGGUGCAGAUGAUCAGCCAUGCAUAUAUACGGCUGCGGCAGAGCAGCAGGGGCAGAGGACACUCCCUGGAAGGUAUAAAAAACAGCCACGGCGGGGCGGCUGAUGCGAGGAGGCUGGAGGAGCGAGGCCUCAUGCAGAGGGAAUCAGCCACCGCACCCAGCAGCGGGGAA